rnacentral:lncRNA from 1 species
CUAACGUGUAAACGUCUAUAAUAAUAAUAAUAAUAAUAAUACUGUAAUGGCCAACUGAGCUCUAUAGAAAAUGUCUAUGAUCUUGGAAAACAGAUUCGCAUACGAAACUUGUACACUUAUUUUUGAACUGCGGCCCAAGUCCUGUCUUGCCAAAUGGAGACGGUCUUUAUCGAUCGCGUUGUGCAGUCCCAUCAUUAAUUCUUCACGACGUCCGCUUGAUGGCUGUGGGUCUCGCACGUCAUGCCUCAUUGAAUUAAGCUGUCUGUGCACGCGAACUCUACUCUUUCCUCUUGCUGUGCUAUGUCUCAGUGUUUCGCACACAUGCCUGACUGUCAAUGUGACAAGGACUUCCGCUCUCUGAGCCAAUCCAAUCCCUAGCUUACAAUUUCUUUCAGAUUCAUGACGUAUCAUCUCGAAUUGCUUUCGUUUUCUACUCGGCAUUAAGAGAUUUGACUUAAUCAAAGUGAAUUAUAUAUAUUUAUAUAUAUAUAUUAAUAAUAAAAGCAUUAAAAAGGAUACAUUAUACCAACCUCUAAUUAUUCUGUUCCAUGUUACUAUUAUUAUUAUUAUUAUUCGCACGAAAUUCUUAUCUUUCGAAAUACAGAAACC